GUUGAACUGAAGAGAAGAAUGGAGCUUGUGCAUAAAUAGGGACAAGCUCUUGAAGAUCUUAAGAAGAGUUCUAUGAAGCUUCAGAAGUGAUGAGAAGCUGAUAUAAGGUUGGGACAAUGGCUAAGAAGAGUUCAGAUAGAAGUGGAGUAGUCUUUGGAUAAGUUAAGGAGAGAAAGGUAGAUGGUGCAAAGAUAGGGACAGCCAUGUACGGCCAUGUACGGAUGGUACGGCCGGGGAAGGACAUGGCUGAUCCAAAAGAGUUUCUAUCAAGUCUUGGGAUGUUUUGGAGUUGUGCAAAGAUAGGGCACAAUGUGAGAGAAGCAACCCUAAUCCGUACACUCAGCUGAUGAAGACUUGUGAUGCAAGGCAUGAAGAAGGCUUAGGGCAAGAGAGCAAAGAUCCUAAAGGCAUAUGCUGUCCGAGAUGCUUUAGGAAGUAACCAGGAAGGUGCUGAGCUCUCUUGACCGUUUAUGGAUAAGAAACCUUAUCCAUACAGCUUGUUCAAAUUCAAAUAAGCAAGCUGGCAUGAGCUGUAAAGUAAAGGCAAAGAAGAGGUCAUGUAUCUGGCCAAAAGAGAGGGAAGAUACAUGGGGCUUUAAGAAAAGCAAUCAGGCGCCAGCAAGCAAGAACCAAUCACCAUUCAGCCUACCUUGACCAGAUCCAAAGCUACAUCCAAGCCAUUCAUUUCCCAAAGUCAUUUAGAGCCAUCAGAUUUAGGUUUAUGAGUUUCAGAGUGUGAAAACAUAUAUAAACUGAUGUAUGGACGUUUUGUAAGCUCUAAGAGAGUAUGGGGGUUUUCCCCAUCUCCUUCAUAUUUAUAAAAGUGUGUUCUUGAUCAGAUUCCCUUAAUCUACCCCUUUCUUAGUCUCUAAUCUCUUAAUCUCUCUAAGUCUCUUUUUUUCUGAUUCAAGUUCAUACUAGUUUCAUCAGACCUCUUAUUCAACUAGUUCAAGACCUUAUUCUUUGCCUCUAAUGGCUUCUCAUACACAUACACAGCCAGAGCUCUCAAAUCUCAUAUGGUAUCAGAGCCAGGUUCAUCAGAACCUGAGCUGAAGCUUCCGCAAACACACUGCUCUCUCCUCAGCUCAAAUCCAAA
rnacentral:lncRNA from 1 species